GAGAUGGUGGCCCAAUUGGGAGGGCGUCCGACUGAAGCUCGGAAGGUUGUCAGUUCGAAUCUGACCCAUUUCA